AUACCCGCUGAACUUAAGCAUAU
rnacentral:rRNA from 2 species